rnacentral:rRNA from 1 species
CCUACGGGAGGCUGCAGUGAGGAAUAUUGGUCAAUGGGCGCGAGCCUGAACCAGCCAAGUCGCGUGAGGGAGGACGGCCCUACGGGUUGUAAACCUCUUUUGCCGGGGAGCAACGGGCGCCACGUGUGGCGUCACUGAGAGUACCCGGAGAAAAAGCAUCGGCUAACUCCGUGCCAGCAGCCGCGGUAAUACGGAGGAUGCGAGCGUUAUCCGGAUUUAUUGGGUUUAAAGGUUGCGAAGGCGGAUCGUUAAGUCAGUGGUCAAAUUGAGGGGCUCAACCCCUUCCCGACAGUGAAACUGGCGUUCUUGAGUGUAAGAGAAGGAUGCGGAAUGCGGGGUGUAGCGGGGAAAUGCAUAGAUAUCACGCAGAACCCCGAUUGCGAAGGCAGCAUGCCGGCUUCCGACUGACGCUGAAGCACGAAAGCGUGGGGAUCGAACAGGAUUAGAUACCCCAGUAGUC